AGUGAACGCUGGCGGUAGGCCUAACACAUGCAAGUCGAACGGCAGCACAGUAAGAGCUUGCUCUUACGGGUGGCGAGUGGCGGACGGGUGAGGAAUACAUCGGAAUCUACUUUUUCGUGGGGGAUCACGUAGGGAAACUUACGCUAAUACCGCAUACGACCUACGGGUGAAAGCAGGGGAUCUUCGGACCUUGCGCGAUUGAAUGAGCCGAUGUCGGAUUAGCUAGUUGGCGGGGUAAAGGCCCACCAAGGCGACGAUCCGUAGCUGGUCUGAGAGGAUGAUCAGCCACACUGGAACUGAGACACGGUCCAGACUCCUACGGGAGGCAGCAGUGGGGAAUAUUGGACAAAGGGCGCAAGCCUGAUCCAGCCAUACCGCGUGGGUGAAGAAGGCCUUCGGGUUGUAAAGCCCUUUUGUUGGGAAAGAAAAGCAGCAGGUUAAUACCCCGCUGUUCUGACGGUACCCAAAGAAUAAGCACCGGCUAACUUCGUG
rnacentral:rRNA from 1 species